AAAAUGUUCCUCAUCAGGAGGUGAAGGAGAAGAUAAACUUGAGAUGGACAAAUGACCAAGAAAGUUUGCAAUUUGAACAAUAUAGGCAUUUUGAGUUUGACAAAGAGCAGUCUUGUAAAGACUGCAGCAAAGAUGAUAUAGUGAAGAUUUUAAACAUGCCUUUGAUUGGAGCAGUAGCAGCCGCAAUGAGAAAGUUUAAUUUAAAAAAAGAAAAUUUAGUUUUUUAAAACUUUAGAUUUUGAUGGCUAUAUCAUUAGAAUAGAACUGAAGAGGGUAGACCCUGACCAAAAUGUAGA